rnacentral:rRNA from 1 species
GGUUAAGCGACUAAGCGUACACGGUGGAUGCCCUGGCAGUCAGAGGCGAUGAAGGGCGUGCUAAUCUGCGAUAAGCGCCGGUAAGGUGAUAUGAACCGUUAUAACCGGCGAUACCCGAAUGGGGAAACCCAGUGUGACUCGUCACACUAUCAUUAACUGAAUCCAUAGGUUAAUGAGGCGAACCGGGGGAACUGAAACAUCUAAGUACCCCGAGGAAAAGAAAUCAACCGAGAUUCCCCCAGUAGCGGCGAGCGAACGGGGAGGAGCCCAGAGCCUGAAUCAGCAUGUGUGUUAGUGGAAGCGUCUGGAAAGACGCGCGAUACAGGGUGACAGCCCCGUACACAAAAGCGUAUGUGCUGUGAGCUCGAUGAGUAGGGCGGGACACGUGGUAUCCUGUCUGAAUAUGGGGGGACCAUCCUCCAAGGCUAAAUACUCCUGACUGACCGAUAGUGAACCAGUACCGUGAGGGAAAGGCGAAAAGAACCCCGGCGAGGGGAGUGAAAAAGAACCUGAAACCGUGUACGUACAAGCAGUGGGAGCACAGGUUUACCUGUGUGACUGCGUACCUUUUGUAUAAUGGGUCAGCGACUUAUAUUCUGUAGCAAGGUUAACCGAAUAGGGGAGCCGGAGGGAAACCGAGUCUUAAUUGGGCGUUAAGUUGCAGGGUAUAGACCCGAAACCCGGUGAUCUAGCCAUGGGCAGGUUGAAGGUUGGGUAACACUAACUGGAGGACCGAACCGACUAAUGUUGAAAAAUUAGCGGAUGACCUGUGGCUGGGGGUGAAAGGCCAAUCAAACCGGGAGAUAGCUGGUUCUCCCCGAAAGCUAUUUAGGUAGCGCCUCGUGAAUUCAUCUCCGGGGGUAGAGCACUGUUUCGGCUAGGGGGUCAUCCCGACUUACCAACCCGAUGCAAACUGCGAAUACCGGAGAAUGUUAUCACGGGAGACACACGGCGGGUGCUAACGUCCGUCGUGAAGAGGGAAACAACCCAGACCGCCAGCUAAGGUCCCAAAGUCAUGGUUAAGUGGGAAACGAUGUGGGAAGGCCCAGACAGCCAGGAUGUUGGCUUAGAAGCAGCCAUCAUUUAAAGAAAGCGUAAUAGCUCACUGGUCGAGUCGGCCUGCGCGGAAGAUGUAACGGGGCUAAACCAUGCACCGAAGCUGCGGCAGCGACACUCAGGUGUUGUUGGGUAGGGGAGCGUUCUGUAAGCCUGCGAAGGUGGCCUGUGAGGGUUGCUGGAGGUAUCAGAAGUGCGAAUGCUGACAUAAGUAACGAUAAAGCGGGUA